AUAAUACUAGAUAAAAAGUAACAAUGACUAUUUUUAUCUAUAAGUCUUGGCCAAAUUACGUGCCAGCAGUCGCGGUAAUACGUAGAAGACUAGUGUUAUUCAUCUUUAAUCGGUUUAAAGGGUACCUAGACGGAUAAUUAAGCCACUUAAAAUAAAAAAAUUGGUACUAAUUUUCUAGAGUUUUAUAAAAGAAUGUCGAAUAACUAGAGAAGAGAUAAAAUUUUUUGAUACUGGUUAGACGGGUAACAGUGAAGACUACAUUCUAUGUAAAAACUGACGUUGAGGGACGAAGCCUUGGGUAGCAAUAAGGAUUAGAUACCCUAGUAGUCCAAGGAGAAAAUUAUGAAUGUCAUAGACUAGUUUAAUUUAGUUUAUAAAUGAAAGUGUAAGCAUUCCACCUCAUGAGUAAAGCGGCAACGCUGAAAUUGAAAUCAUUAGACCGUGUCUGAAACCAGUAGUGAAGUAUGUUAUUUAAUUCGAUAAUCCGCGAAAAACCUUACCACGUUUUGAAUUUUUAUAUUUUCUACAAGCGUUGCAUGGCUGUCUUAAGUUAAUGUCGUGAGAUUUGGUUCACUCCUUUAAUUAACGAAAUCCCCUUGUUUUAAUUUGAUUUAAAAAUAUAUUUUAUCUACAUAUUGGCCUAAAUAUAGAGGGACCAAGACAAGUCAUCAUGGCCUUAAUAACGUGGGCUAUA
rnacentral:rRNA from 1 species